GUAACUAUUAUGUUUUUCAGACGCUGAUUGCAACUGCAAAGGGUUUAAAUUGUCCUAACGGUGGGCGAACCCACCGAGGAAACGUAAGUACUCAAAAGACAUGGGUAAGAGAUAGCAGGCAAAGCCCACAAACUCUAGGUAAUGAUCCUUCCGCAGGUUCACCUACGGAAA
rnacentral:misc_RNA from 1 species